GCUAGGUACCUCCAAAACCAGGCUGGAAAAUGCGUCCCCCUCCUCCCUUCCCUCCCUCCCCUCCAAACCCAGGGCUCUGCCAAACAGGAACCUCCCUCUGGUAAUCAGCCUGGCACAUAGUGGGCCCUCAAAAAAUAUUUGCCUCCUGUUUUGCCAAGCUGCCACCUCCUCCACCGUGACCCACCGCCUAAUGAAUCACAGUCCCCUGCACGGGACACAAGCCCCAGUGGGGAUUCAGAGGUGUGGGUGAGGAACCAUCAGCCCUCCCUAGGAGCUCAACAGAGCCUUCCUGGAAAGCGAGGGACUCUGUGGCUUGCCUGGGAGGGGUAAGUGCAGUGGGGUGACCAGAGCUGCAGGGGCUCUUGGGUCUAAGGCAUCAGUGGAGCCAUGCUCCAGGUGGGGGCUGGUCUGUAAUGGCCUCCACUUGUUUCAAAUGGUUCUGGGGGAACUCCAGACAGCUCCCCAAACUGCAGUGGAGGUAGGAGAGUCCAAAGGCGUUGGGGGCAGGGAGACUGGGGCUGUGGGAAAGACGAGGGAAGGUGAUGCCGUCUCAGAUUUCUUGGAGAUUGAGAGGGAGUUUUUGAAGCUACAGCUUUCGUGCCUUUGAAAUCCCCAGAAUGGACCUAUGAGGAGAUGAAAGCCCCCCAGCAGCCCCACCAGCACUCUGCAGGCUGUCAUGCAAGGGCUGGCCUGGGGAGAGGCCCUGGGGCCCUGCCAGCACCUGCUUUGGCAAGUGCCCUGCCCUGUUCCAGCCUCUACCUUUUCACUGUGGAACAAGCCAAAAUCUCCCAGCUGUGCAGACUCCAUUCAAGGACCAGCUGGUGGCUGAGCACUUCACAUAGGUGACUUCAUUCUGUCCUCAACACAUGACAGCCCUGCCUCAGCCGGAAUGAACUAGAAGACCACAGCCGUGAAUGACCCUCCAAAACGCAGCGGCUUCAAGGCUAUUUCGCACUCCUGCUGCGUGUGCAUCUCGAGUGGGCUACAGCUCUGACCCCUGUUAUCUUCUUCCCGGGACCCCGGCUGAUGGAGCUGCACAUGGCUGGCUUUGUGCAGAGGUCGCCAUGCCUCUGGACGGAGAGAAAAUGUCUUGGAAUUCUGAAAUAUGCCAAGACCCAGCAAAUGAAGACGAAGUCUGUGUGGAAGGGCCCAGAGCCAUAAUCCAGCCCAACACCCUCAAGGUGUGAGAAGCUAAGUCUGGUCCCUGUUAUUCCAUUUUGGCCAGAAGCCUAGCAGCUCCAUUUUAAGCCCUGAACCCUCCCUCCACAUCGGGCUUCAGAUUCUGCCAGUCCACUACUCAACAAGUGAGCCGAGUCUUGUGGGGAUUGAGAUUCACAGAGAAGCACCUCUUUGCCAUACCAGGUAGGACAGGAAACCACCUGUUACCACCUGAAUUAAUUGCAUCCACUAUUUUCGAACUUAAUACCAAAGAGAAAUGGAUGGUGUAACUUUUUACCCCAUACACUGGAUUCAAGAAAAAUAAAUGGGCAUAGAGCUAAUCCCUCCCCUAGGCCAGCCUUGGGGAAAUUUGGAAAACAGGCAAUUAAGCAUGAUCGAGCAGUUUGGCCCAGGAGGAAAAUGACCUCCGCCUGCACAUUGCUCUCUAGUGAUCAAUAAUUCACAGCACUUGCCAGCCAUGUGUGCAGCCCCCAGGCAUCCGUCCCUCCCACCAGCUGGUUCAGCCCUUUCAAGAGGUGCCCAAAGGCCUGAUGCUCAUCCCCACCUCCCACCUGGGCCUGGCCAUGUCAGGAAAACAAGACUCCAAGCCUUUUGUGGGCAGGUUCCUGGGAGCGCUCAUCUGGGACUUAUGUCCUCCAUCUAUAAAGGGACUGCAGGGAAUGAACUCUACCCAGCCUUCAGCAGGGAGAUGGCAUUCAUCUUUCCCACUGGCAUUUCCAAGCCAUCCUCUCAUGACACUUCCUUCAUGGAGCCUUCCUUGAUUACUUCUGUGCUUCGAGUCAUCAUUAAGUCCAUACCACAGUUAUUAACUAUUCAUUAAUUUUAAAAAUGAUUGCUCACAAAUUAAAUAUCAGGACUACAGGACAUACUGGAGCAGAAACCAAUGAACAGCACCCAAUCGUGCCUUGAGGGCUCCAGGAAGCCACAGUCCUGAGAAACAGAUGGACAGGGGAACCAGAUGGGACAGGUGGGACAGAGGAAUGGGGAAACAUGACUGCAAACCACAUCAGCCACAUCCCCUAGAGUGAGGUGGGGAGGAAGACCCAUGCUGUCUCACCACUCCAGGGAGAGCGGACGCAUCAGGGCACAGUGUUAGGGAAGCUCUGCAUCUCUCAAGAUAUUCUGAAAAGGAACAUCAGCCAUGGCGAGAAGCCGAGGUUGCAGCCCCGCUCCCAUGCCGCACCCUGGGCAAACACUCCUCAAGCAGGAUUUCACUCCACUUCCACACACCCUGUGGGUAGGGACUCUUAGUGUCUCCCUUUCACAGAUGGGAAAACUGAGGCUUAAAGAGGUUAAGCAACCUCAGCCAGGUCACACAUGAGCAGUGGAUAAGACCUGACGCCAGGAGGCCUGGCUGCAGAGCUGUGCCCCAGACCUCUCCUGAACGCGGGGCACCACCCCACGUAAACCCUCUGCCACAGCCCCAAUGCUCCAGGGCCCUGCUCUGUGUCACUCACAGAUCUGUUUUAUCCCAUUUCCCCCACUGUAAUGUCAUCUCUGUGGACAGGGAUUUUUGCCUGUUUUGCUCACUGUGUUGUGUACCCUAGUGCCUGGUGUGUGGCAGGAAUUUGUAUUGUUGGGUGAAUUUGUGGAUGAAUGGAUGAUCAAGGAGGCCAGUAAGUGGCUCAGGUGGUCAGCCCCUCAUCCUGCCCCUCCCCAACAUCUCUGUGCCUCCUGCAUGAUGGUGGCACAGGCUGGCCAAUGAGCUUCUGCAUGGAAGAUGGGGCAGGCUACUGGGGUAUGUCAUGGUGGGCCAAGCCAGGGGGCCAUGUAGGGUGGUGGAACCAGUCCAGGUAUUCCCUUGGGGAACCAGAGGGUUGAGUCCAGUGGGGCUAUCAGAACCCACAAGGCCUUGAGAACCAAAGAAGUGAUGAUUGGUUCAAACAGGAGGGUGGCAAGGCCAGGCCAUCAUGGGGCAGGUCUCUGGAGGGGGCCAGGCUGGAACUGGGCCAGUGAUAUAAGUUGGCUCUAUGUCCCCACCCAAGUCUCAUGUCAAAUUGCAAUCCUCAAUGUUGGAGGAGGGGCCUGGUGGGAAGUGAUUGGAUCAUGCGGGCAGACUUCUCCCUUGCUGUUCUGGUGAUGCUGAGUGAGUUCUCAUGAGAUCUGGUUGUUUAGAGGCAUACGGCACUUCCCCCUUCUCUCUCUCUCUCCUGCUGGCCAUGUGAAUAUGUGCCUACUUCCCCUUGGCUUUCUGCCACGAUUAUAAGCUUCCUGAGGGAAGCUUACUACCCAUAUUUCCUGUACAGCCUGCAGAAUUGUGAGUCAAUUAAACCUAUUUUCUUAAUAAAUUACCCAGUCUCAGGUAGUUCCUUAUAGCAAUGCGAGAACAGACUAAUACAGCCGGGCUCCAUCCACUGGCUCUGCUGCAGGGCCUGAGUAAACUACUGUCCUCCAGGGACCGGUAACACCAGGGACAAUAAGGAGGCUUAAUCAGGAUCCUCUGAUUGCAAGUGACAAAAAGCCAGCCUAAAUUAGCUUAGCAAAAAAGGGGACACAAUUCCAGGCCCUGACAGUGGGCCCUGGGGCUUAAACUCCAUGGGACCCUCUCUGCCUCUCCUCUCUGUUUCUCUCAUGGGGUGGACACAGCCAGUAGCAGCUCCAAGGACAUGUCCCACAGUGCCUUGGCCAGAGCCAGAGAAGGUAUCACCACCCACUGCAAUCC
rnacentral:lncRNA from 10 species